rfam:Trichobilharzia regenti genome assembly, scaffold: TRE_scaffold0066455
CUACUGGUGAAGAGUCCCAAACUAGGACGAAACAGCUGUUCAGUAC